CCAGUUGUCACGCCAGUGGCACAGCUGGGUAGCUAUGUUGGGACUGGAUAAACGCUGAAAGCAUCUAAGCGUGAAGCCAACCUCAAGAUGAGAUUUCCCAUAGCGUAAGCUAGUAAGACUCCUGGAAGAACACCAGGUUGAUAGGUCAGAGAUGUAAGCAUGGCAACAUGUUAAGUUGACUGAUACUAAUAAGUCGAGGGCUUGACCAAAA
rnacentral:rRNA from 1 species